UAUGCGUAAAAGAUCGGACAGUAACUGUGAUAAUAUAUAAAUAAAUAAAUAAAAUAAUUUAAUUUUAAUAACGGUUUUAAAAUGAAGGUGAAAAGUUCGUUUAUAUCGAUAAUACUCAGCAGUUUUUUCUGUUUAACUAAAGCAGAAUAUAAUACAAAUAGAAUAAAAACAGAAGUAGAUCUCGUUAUAGAAGGACUUGUAGAUCAAGAAUGGAAUGCUGAUGAAAAACCUUGCUUGGACCAGACACUGUUCAUAUUGAACAAUGUUAAGAAUUACACUGUGUGGGCUGUUUGGAUCUGGAACUCCAUGCAACAUCCAGUGGGUAGUUUUUACGGCUCCAAAUACAGUUUUGGCAACUAUGAUCAAUGUCUAAAAGCACCGUCAAAUUUUGGAGAACCCAAAAUUGUAACUCAGUAUUGCCUUACUGAUGUUAAACUGACGGAUGGCAAAGUUAAAGCUUAUGAAAAUCCAGAUAUUUUGGGACCAUCUGAAGAUUUU